AUUGAACGCUGGCGGCAGGCCUAACACAUGCAAGUCGAGCGGAUGAAGGGAGCUUGCUCCUGGAUUCAGCGGCGGACGGGUGAGUAAUGCCUAGGAAUCUGCCUUGUAGUGGGGGAUAACGUCCGGAAACGGGCGCUAAUACCGCAUACGUCCUGAGGGAGAAAGUGGGGGAUCUUCGGACCUCACGCUAUCAGAUGAGCCUAGGUCGGAUUAGCUAGUUGGUGGGGUAAAGGCCUACCAAGGCGACGAUCCGUAACUGGUCUGAGAGGAUGAUCAGUCACACUGGAACUGAGACACGGUCCAGACUCCUACGGGAGGCAGCAGUGGGGAAUAUUGGACAAUGGGCGAAAGCCUGAUCCAGCCAUGCCGCGUGUGUGAAGAAGGUCUUCGGAUUGUAAAGCACUUUAAGUUGGGAGGAAGGGCAGUAAGUUAAUACCUUGCUGUUUUGACGUUACCAACAGAAUAAGCACCGGCUAGCUUCGUG
rnacentral:rRNA from 1 species